rnacentral:rRNA from 1 species
UUGAACGCUGGCGGCAUGCCUUACACAUGCAAGUCGAACGGUAACGCGGGGCAACCUGGCGACGAGUGGCGAACGGGUGAGUAAUGCAUCGGAACGUGCCCAGAAGUGGGGGAUAGCCCGGCGAAAGCCGGAUUAAUACCGCAUGAGACCUGAGGGUGAAAGCGGGGGAUCGCAAGACCUCGCGCUUUUGGAGCGGCCGAUGUCAGAUUAGCUAGUUGGUGGGGUAAAGGCCUACCAAGGCGACGAUCUGUAGCUGGUCUGAGAGGACGACCAGCCACACUGGGACUGAGACACGGCCCAGACUCCUACGGGAGGCAGCAGUGGGGAAUUUUGGACAAUGGGCGCAAGCCUGAUCCAGCCAUGCCGCGUGCGGGAAGAAGGCCUUCGGGUUGUAAACCGCUUUUGUCAGGGAAGAAACGCUCUGGGCUAAUACCCUGGGGUAAUGACGGUACCUGAAGAAUAAGCACCGGCUAACUACGU